rnacentral:ncRNA from 2 species
GCAUUUUGAAUUGGUUCGUGUUAUUUUAAUACUGCUUUAAGCGCGGGAAGCCCGUGAAAUACGGGCACGGCCCCGCCACUGUAAACGGCAACGAAAGCCAAAAAAGCCACUGUCCGCCGCUAGGCGGAUGGGAAGGCAAGGCGAGUAGGAAGUAAAGCCGUAAGUCAGGAUACCCGCUUAAAGUAUGGCCCGUAC